rnacentral:RNase_P_RNA from 1 species
GAGUUGACCAGACAGUCGCUGCCUGCGUAAGCAGGGGGAGGAAAGUCCGGGCUUCACAGGGCAGGGUGCCAGGUAACGCCUGGGGGGCGCGAGCCUACGACCAGUGCAGCAGAGAGCAAACCGCCGAUGGCUUAUCCGUAAGCACAGGUAAGGGUGAAAGGGUGCGGUAAGAGCGCACCGCGCAGCUGGUAACAGUUUGUGGCACGGUAAACUCCACCCGAAGCAAGACCAAAUAGGUUCCCUACAGGCGCGGCCCGCGCUGGGAACGGGUAGGUUGCUGGAGCCUGCGAGCGAUUGCAGGCCUAGACGAAUGACUGUUCAAGACAGAACCCGGCUUAUCGGUUGACUCA